GAAAAAGUGUGUUAUGGUUAGGGCUAGCAUUUUCAGGGAAAUCAGGAUAGUUUAGGUUUUGACUACACAUGGCUGUGGGUUGUUGGCCUAGGGAAAUAUCCAAACUGUGGCCUCCAAUUUUAUUUUUCUUUAACCUGUUCAUCUGGUAUUUCCUCAUGAUUAGAUUUAGGUUAUUAGAUUUAGGUAAUUAGAUUCCUCCCUUUUGGCAGGAAUACCACAGAAGUGAUGUCAUACCCAUUUCAGUGCAUCAUAUCUGGAGCUACAAAAUGACUGCUGUUUGCUUGUGUCUCUUUGGGAAAAUUAUAUAAGAGUUCCUUAUUCUCCUGGAACAGGCAAACUCAGGACAGGAUACACAGCAUGCUAAGAGAACAAGACAAACUCCAUCUUGGCUCUUUCACUGGCAGCCUCUUCCUCAAGGACUUAACUUGUGCAAGCUGACUCCCAGCACAUCCAAGAAUGCAAUUAACGGAUAAGAUACUGUGGCGAGCUAUAUCCGCAGUGCCCAAGAAUUCGUCUGAUUGAUAACGCCCAAAGCCCUGUGUCUAUCACCUUGUAAUAGUCUUAAAGCCCCUGCACCUGGAACUGUUUACUUUCCUGUAACCAUUUAUCCUUUUACCUUUUUGACUACUUAACUUCUGUAAAAUUGUUUUAACUAGACCCCCCGCCCCCCUUCCUAAACCAAGAUGUAAAAGUUAAUCAAGCCCCUUUCUUGGGGCCAAAUUUUGAGCGUUAGCCGUCUCUCGGUCGCUGGCUAAUAAAGGACUUUUAAUUCAUCUCAAAGUGUGGCGUUUUUCUAACUCGCUCGGGUACAACAUGGGAUCUGAUGCUGUCUCCAGGCAGUGUCAGAAUUGAAUUGAAGGAAGCCAUCUGGUGUCCACUGCAGAACUGAUGGCUUGCUCGGUAUUUGAGGGUGGG
rnacentral:lncRNA from 10 species